AUGACAAUAACCUUCGGUGAUGGUACCGAAGACAAGAAAAUCAAGAUUACCAAGGAAGCUAUACACAAGGUGUUUGGAUACCCAAACGGCACGGAAAAGUCAGCACCAAGGCCAGCGAAGAGCCCAACUUCAAUGAAAGAACUGAUGUCAGACCUUGGCUUCAAACAUACAGAUUUCAAGGCAAAAGAACUGUUCACGGAGCUAAAAAUAUUGGUGGAACUAGAUGACGAACAGUCAAACAGGAAAUCAGUUAAAAUAUUUUUCCUUAUUUUUUUCCACAACGUUGUCUGCGGGUCAAGCACCGCUAUCUUCGCCCGACAAGCUAUAAUGGUAGAGGACAUGGACUAUCCAGAGAUGGCAAAGAUGGAUUUCUGCGAGGUAAUCGUUGAAUGUAUUAAGGAAGGAGCCAAGAUAUGGCAGAAACACAGAAAUUUGCCUCAGGAAGAGAAGAACAAAAAGCAUAUCAAUGGUUUGGCACAGGGGCCAGUAAUCAUGUACCUCGACUCCCUGCUGCUGCCAACCGACACAAAAGAAAUGCGGAAGAUUGCAAAGACAAUAUACAAGACCUCAUUACCACGAGCAAACCAUCUCAAAGAGAGUGACCUAGCGAAAAUAGCUAGAGCAGACAUGAAAAGGGACGGAAAAGCACGACCAGAUGACUAUGAAUUUGGCAAAAUACAGAUAGCAGGAGAACAUCGCAAACAACAGCAACACCAGAACACGACCAAACUGCUACCACCUCCACCCAAACGCUGGCGCGAACCACGUGUCAGCACCAGUGGAAGCAGGGAACCAAACAAAAGCAUCAGCACAGGAGCAGAAGAAAGAUUCCAAAGGAUAAACAAAUUGUUGGAAAUGGUACUCCAUGAAGCAGAACAGAUACCCGCAGUAACCACCAGGGUUGAACACCAAUGCAACGAAAAGGAAAAGAUAUUGGAUGAAAAAAACAAGAACCUAGUCGUGCAACAAACAAUUGCCCUGAUGGAUUCAUUAGAACAACUCAGACAAUUUCAGGACAUAGUUUGCACAAGGUAG
rnacentral:rRNA from 1 species